CAUGCAGGCGGUCGGACGCGUUUCCAGUGACAGCGGGUGGCUUACCUACCCGAGUAUUGGAAAGACGGUUUGACUUGAGGACUCGAGAGGGACACGGAAUUCCGGGUGGAGUGGUGAAAUGCGUAGAGAUCCGGAGGAACAUCGAAGGCGAAGGCAGUGUCCUGGCGAGUGACUGACGCUGAGGUGCGAAAGCUAGGGGAGCGAACGGGAUUAGAUACCCCGGUAGUCCUAGCCGUAAACGGUGACCACCAGGUGUGGGAGGUAUCGACCCCUUCUGUGCCGGAGGCAACCCACUAAGUGGUCCGCCUGGGGAGUACGGUCGCAAGAUUAAA
rnacentral:rRNA from 1 species